GACGAACGCUGGCGGCGUGCUUAACACAUGCAAGUCGAACGGAAAGGCCCUGCUUUUGUGGGGUGCUCGAGUGGCGAACGGGUGAGUAACACGUGAGUAACCUGCCCUUGACUGUGGGAUAACUUCAGGAAACUGGGGCUAAUACCGGAUAGGAGCUCCUGCUGCAUGGUGGGGGUUGGAAAGUUUCGGCGGUUUGGGAUGGACUCGCGGCUUAUCAGCUUGUUGGUGGGGUAGUGGCUUACCAAGGCUUUGACGGGUAGCCGGCAUGAGAGGGUGAACGGCCACAUUGGGACUGAGAUACGGCCCAGACUCCUACGGGAGGCAGUGGUGGGAAAUAUUGACCAAUGGGCGGAAGCCUGAUGCAGCAACGCCGCGUGCGGGAUGACGGCCUUCGGGUUGUAAACCGCUUUCGCAUGUGACGAAGCGUGAGUGACGGUAAUGGGUAAAGAAGCACCGGCUAACUACGUG
rnacentral:rRNA from 1 species